GCCUCUUCCUCUUCCUCUUGCGAUUAGCUUUUUUAAAUUUCAAAUUUCAAAUUCCUACUAGACAGCCUUUCCUUUAACCAAGUGCUUACUCUUUCUUCUAGGCCUCUUCCUCUUUCUUCUUUCUUAUCUUUCCUUUAAACAAAAUCUACUUGUACCACCUACUCCGUUCAAAGUUAUUUUUGAGCUGUAUCGGCUGCUCCGUUCCGAGCUCCAUCACCGUCAACUUCUUGCCGCUCCAGUCCUUCUGUCGUAGAUCCUUCCUCAUUCGCUUCGGUCUUGAAAUUUAAUGUCUUUGACUAGCCAUCAAGUAUAGCAAGAAAGAGACAAAGCGAUUAUUUUCUCAGAAAAAAUGGGAUCCAAAUGUGUGAAACACUUUUCAUAUCUUUUAACAAAGCGAUUAUGAGAAUUUUCAUUCGAUGCUCCAACUACGGCAAAUGUUGUCCUAAGUAGGCUUUGACUGAACCUGACUAUGGAAGUGAUGCUAGUGCUUUGAAGACCACAACAACAAAGGUCCAAUGCCUUAUGCAUCUUAUUUACCAGUUGUAUUUGACUCAGUCUUUUUAAUCAGAAAUAUUCCAUUAUGUCAAUUGUUCCAAUUUUCAAUAAUGUAUUCCUUCUUUGCAUUGAAAUGGGAGGUGGUUGGAUCCUUGAUGGCCAAAAGAGAUGGAUAUGAAAUAAUACGUUUGCCGACUUGUUGGUUAUCUUUGUUAGGAAUACAACAACAAAUCAAAUAAAUGGGUUGUUGUCCAGAAGACAGUUAUGGCGCCAAGCAUGAAGACAUAAUCCUUUAUGGACAAUCUGUUGGUAAUGACCCAAGUUUGGAUCUUGCAUCUAGGUUGCCUCAAUUAAGAGCUAUUAUUCUGCACUGCCCUAUAUUUUUUGGCUAAGGGUCAUGUAUCCAAUAAAUACUUUAAUUUGUUCUCAUGUUUUUAUUAAAUCAUUUAUCAUAUGACAUUAAUGCUUCAAAUUAGUCUUGCAAUUGUUCU